UACGUAGGUGACAAGCGUUGUCCGGAUUUACUGGGCGUAAAGAGCGCGCAGGCGGUCGAUCAAGUCGAGUGUGAAAGCCCCCGGCUCAACUGGGGAGGGUCAUUCGAUACUGAUCGACUCGAAGGCAGGAGAGGGUAGUGGAAUUCCCGGUGUAGUGGUGAAAUGCGCAGAUAUCGAGAGGAACACCGGUGGCGAAGGCGGCGAUCUGGACGGUGACUGACGCUGAGACGCGAAAGCGUGGGGAGCAAACAGG
rnacentral:rRNA from 1 species